CCCAGACUCCUACGGGAGGCAGCAGUGGGGAAUAUUGCACAAUGGGGGGAACCCUGAUGCAGCGACGCCGCGUGGGUGAAGGAGUACUUCGGUACGUAAAGCCCUAUCAGCAGGAAAGAAAAUGACGGUACCUGACUAAGAAGCCCCGGCUAACUACGUGCCAGCAGCCGCGGUAAUACGUAGGGGGCAAGCGUUAUCCGGAUUUACUGGGUGUAAAGGGAGCGUAGACGGCAGUGCAAGUCCGGAGUGAAAGCCCGGGGCUCAACCCUGGGACCGCUCUGGAAACUGUAAAGCUGGAGUGCGGGAGGGGCAGGCGGAAUUCCUGGUGUAGCGGUGAAAUGCGUAGAUAUCAGGAGGAACACCGGCGGCGAAGGCGGCCUGCUGGACCGUAACUGACGUUGAGGCCCGAAAGCGUGGGGAGCAAACAGGAUUAGAUACCCGCGUAC
rnacentral:rRNA from 1 species